UAAGGAAUCUUCCACAAUGGGGGCAACCCUGAUGGAGCAACGCCGCGUGCAGGAUGAAGGCCUUCGGGUUGUAAACUGCUUUUAUGUGCGAGGAAUAUGACGGUAACACAUGAAUAAGGAUCGGCUAACUCCGUGCCAGCAGCCGCGGUCAUACGGAGGAUCCGAGCGUUAUCCGGAGUGACUGGGCGUAAAGAGUUGCGUAGGUGGUAGUUUAAGCAAAUAGUGAAAUCACGUGGCUCAACCACGUUGCUAUUAUUUGAACUGAAUUACUUGAGAACGGGAGAGGUAGAUGGAAUUCCCUGUGUAGGAGUGAAAUCCGUAGAUAUAGGGAGGAACACCAAUGGCGUAGGCAGUCUACUGGCCCGUUUCUGACACUGAGGCACGAAAGCGUGGGGAGCGAACCGGAUUAGAUACCCCCGUAGUCC
rnacentral:rRNA from 1 species